rnacentral:rRNA from 1 species
GACGAACGCUGGCGGCGUGCUUAACACAUGCAAGUCGAGCGGUAAGGCCCUUUCGGGGGUACACGAGCGGCGAACGGGUGAGUAACACGUGGGUGACCUGCCCUCAGCUCUGGGAUAAGCCCGGGAAACUGGGUCUAAUACCGGAUAUGACUCCAUGACGCAUGUUGUGGGGCGGAAAGCCUUGUGCGGCUGAGGAUGGGCCCGCGGCCUAUCAGCUUGUUGGUGGGGUGAUGGCCACCAAGGCGACGACGGGUAGCCGGCCUGAGAGGGCGACCGGCCACACUGGGACUGAGACACGGCCCAGACUCCUACGGGAGGCAGCAGUGGGGAAUCUUGCGCAAUGGGCGAAAGCCUGACGCAGCGACGCCGCGUGAGGGAUGACGGCCU